GCCUACAUAAAACGUAGAUCGAAGAGACCGGGACAAGUCUUCGGAGAACCGUCUUGGCUCUCGGUACUUCGUUGGUUCCGACUGAUUGCAGACUUUGCUUCUACUCUUUUUCUCUUGGAACAUCCAGAAUGGGCAGCUGUCGACUUUUGAUAUUGGCAAUGAUGGUGUGUUCCGUGUUGUCUUCCACCCAAGUCCACUACCGAACAGCUCGACAAACAUCUUCGGAGAUAAUAUGUCACAACUGGUGUGGCGAACCUCCUAAUCUGGAGUGCUGUGAUCCGGUGACUCGUUGUGACCAUUGGUGUGGUAUCCCUCCCGAUCUCUAUUGCUGUGACGCCACCAUAGGGAAGUGACCCGUUAACAGCCAAAUUCCCGUAGCAGACUGAAGCCUUUUGGCCUCCUCCAGUACUGGAUGCUUUUCUACAUAGGACGAAAACUCAGUGGAAAUGCAAUCUGAAAAAAAUGUAAAUAUUUGUAAUUUCAGCCUCUGAUGUCGACGACGUUUUCUCUGGCUGCCAAAACUACAUGAAUUGUACUUGUAUGCAAUAAAGGACACACGGAUAGCAAAUCUGUUGAUGUGGGUACGUUGUCUGCUCGGGAACUUUGGGCGGCUAUAAGUGAAACGUCGUCACUAAAAGAUCAAAUAAUUGAAUAAAAGUAAAUUUUAUCAUGAGAAGGAAAAAACUUGCUGUUACAUAAGAUGGUGUCAUUAACCUGUCUGAUUCAUAUCUUCUAAGUGGCAUUGAUUCAGUAAUAAGAUGCAUUUACUACAACCCGGUAAUCUCCUUUAAGGAAAUAAGAACAGAAUGUGGUAGACAUUUAGGGAAGUUGGCGUUACUGAAAUGUCUUUGCCAUCACAAAGGUCUGUUGCAAAAGAGGUUUGUUUACCAGUCAAGAUGUACUUAUCAAUGGAUGCGAAAGCAGUUGCAGAUAAUCUUAUUCUUGAACCGAAUCGAAUAUUGAAUUUAGGCCAAAGGCCAAGUACUGGGACCUUUCAGGUCACUCAGCGCUGAAAAGGAAAUUGACAGUAAAAGGUUUGAAAGGUGUAACGGGAGGAAAACCUCUCAGUUCACUAGGAAUCAAUUGUUAGGAGAGGGUGGAAAGUAAGAUAGAAGAAAUAAUAUGAAUGGAGGUACAGUAAAAGGAAAGAAAGGGGUUGCAGCUGGGGGUCGAAGGCAUGCUGCAAAGAAUCUUAAGUAAUGCCUACAGUGCACUUCAUGAGGUGCAUUGAUGCACUACCUCCCUACGAGAGAUAAUCUUAUUCAUUACGUUUUAACGUUGGAGUCAUCUGAUGCUGUUUUCAGGAAUUAAAAAUUAUACAUGAACUCUGAUAGAAAGGAAUGACAUUUUUAUGAUCUUUGUCAAGUUAUUGGAUUCCAAGCAAUGUCAAUUUUACGAGGUUAUUGUAGCUCAUAUCCAAAGAAGAACACGUUUGAGUACCAUUUUACUAAAAGGUUCUUUCAACUUCUCGGCUAACUACAUUAAAUUUGGACAACUUUCAAGUUAAGGUUCGAAUUUGGUUUAAAGUAUGUAUUUCCAAUUUACCAGUGACAUUUUUUUUUUUUUCAACUUCUGUAACCUUCUGUUCUUCAGCCAGCCGUUGUUCAAAAUCUUGAUUAAGUAGUCCACCAUUAUGUUAUUAUGGAUGUUUGUAAUGAAAGGAGACAUUUAUUGUCUUUAUAAAUGGAAAAAUAAAUGAUUUCUUAUUUUCGUUAGCCCAUGUAUUUUUUUUUUUAUUCUAACACGAUUUAUAAUAAUAAAAGAAAACAGCAA